rnacentral:rRNA from 1 species
ACUCAAAUGAAUAGACGGGGGCCCGCACAAGCGGUGGAGCAUGUGGUUUAAUUCGACGCAACGCGAAGAACCUUACCAGCCCUUGACAUGCCCGGUAUGGGUCGGGGAGACCCGACGCUUCAGUUCGGCUGGCCGGGGCACAGGUGCUGCAUGGCUGUCGUCAGCUCGUGUCGUGAGAUGUUGGGUUAAGUCCCGCAACGAGCGCAACCCUCAUCUGCAGUUGCCAUCGGGUGAGCCGGGCACUCUGCAGAAACUGCCGGUGACAAGCCGGAGGAAGGCGGGGAUGACGUCAAGUCCUCAUGGCCCUUAUGGGCUGGGCUACACACGUGCUACAAUGGCGGUGACAGCGGGACGCAAGGGGGUGACCCUGCGCCAAUCUCGAAAAGCCGUCUCAGUUCGGAUUGCUCUCUGCAACUCGAGAGCAUGAAGUCGGAAUCGCUAGUAAUCGCGGAUCAGCACGCCGCGGUGAAUACGUUCCCGGGCCUUGUACACACCGCCCGU